AGUGAACGCUGGCGGUAGGCCUAACACAUGCAAGUCGAACGGCAGCACAGUAAGAGCUUGCUCUUACGGGUGGCGAGUGGCGGACGGGUGAGGAAUACAUCGGAAUCUACUUUUUCGUGGGGGGUAACGUAGGGAAACUUACGCUAAUACCGCAUACGACCUACGGGUGAAAGCAGGGGAUCUUCGGACCUUGCGCGAUUGAAUGAGCCGAUGUCGGAUUAGCUAGUUGGCGGGGUAAAGGCCCAUCAAGGCGACGAUCCGUAGCUGGUCUGAGAGGAUGAUCAGCCACACUGGAACUGAGACACGGUCCAGACUCCUACGGGAGGCAGCAGUGGGGAAUAUUGGACAAAGGGCGCAAGCCUGAUCCAGCCAUACCGCGUGGGUGAAGAAGGCCUUCGGGUUGUAAAGCCCUUUUGUUGGGAAAGAAAAGCAGCAGGUUAAUACCCCGCUGUUCUGACGGUACCCAAAGAAUAAGCACCGGCUAACUUCGUG
rnacentral:rRNA from 1 species